rnacentral:lncRNA from 1 species
CCCAGGAUGGACAUGGCACCCACAUUGGCACCCUCUGGUCUUGUCCCCACAGGACACCCCUCUGUCAUGGUGAUCAAGACGGCUAGGGGGCAGGGAAGGCGAGAAGAGGGAGGAGACACUGGUGUGACUCAUAGCAAAGUAAGAGCUUCUUCCCUCCUCUCUGCACCCCAAAUACGGCUGCAUUAGAACUAAGCAAGCUAUUGAUACCACACUGACCUAAAAAUAACAAAUGGCGAAGUCAGUGGCCUAGGAGGCUGGAGAAUCUUAACACCAGGUGGCCCAGGGCAUACCCAGAGCUUCUGGCAACCGAAAUCUGGAAAAAGUGGUAACAGUUCCAUCUGGUCAAAUGACAAAAGCCUAAAUUUGUAUCAAGUAGUGGCUGAUAACAGUCAAUUUCUACCUAGAAGGCACUACGUUGGAUCUAGGUGUUCAGGGUUCUUUAAGUCAUGCUCUGAAUGAAUAAGCAAUGAUUCCAAAGUAUGUGAAGCUAGCCUCACAGAUUGAAGUCCUUGAAAUCACACUUUCCAAACAGCUUCAAAUGAAGAACAAGCUCAUACAAACUCAAGAGUGCUUGAUCGAUGAGCAACUCCAGCAAGUGAAGACAUCACAGUCUGGGGCAGUGCAUGGCUGACCCCUUUACCUGUUGAACUAGCUGCUUUGGCCCUUGUUUCAAGGGAAAAGGGCUCUAGAGGAAUUGGGGGUUUGGUCCUCUUAAGGUCUGAGGUCUUUGGGUCUCUGGGUUUGGUCAGGCCCUUAGGGACUGUGGGCUUAGGCUGAGCAAGGGUAGCCUUGGGACAUGUCUCAAACUCUGGUGAAGUCAAGAAAGGCCACAGAGUGGAAAAUCCAGAAUCUACAUCCCAUUCGUGCCAGAGCCCUGUUCCAUCCACUCUCUGAGCAGAUGUCUCCCUACGAAGGCCCAAGGGACUCCUGAAAAGCAGGCACGAAUAGACCGCAGAGUUAAACAGUGCAAGGGCAUGCUGUGGACCCACCCACUUUGGGUAAAUCUUUUGACUUCUCUGUGAAUCAGAAAAUCAAUGGGAUAGACUAUGCCUCACAGGGCCACCCUAGGGAUCGAAUAAGAUGAUGGAUACCAAAGUGCUUCAUUAACAAUAAAGUGCCAAAAAGAGUUACUAC